rnacentral:sRNA from 1 species
CUCAUUUGGAUAUGGUUCUAAAUGUUGCGGAGAUUAAGGGAUAAUUGUUGCACUUUUUGAGAUUAGCUGGUAUUCUAUGGUUAAUGUAUUUAUGCUUCGGGAUUAAGGUACAACGUUCUAAUAAGAAUGGCUCCUUUAUUCAAAAGUUUCAAAUGCAAAAUAUAAUAGCGCUAAGCGCACGGAGGUUUCAUUCUUAUGGAACAAGGUACUGUUAAAUGGUUCAACGCUGACAAGGGUUACGGUUUUAUCACUUUGGAAAACGGCUCAGACGUUUUCGUUCACUUCUCAGCAAUCAACGCUGACGGCUUCAAGACUCUUGAAGAAGGUCAAAAGGUUACUUUGGACGUCGAAGACGGCGACCGUGGCCCACAAGCUGCUAACGUUACACCAGCUUAAUGUUAAAUUAAGUGAAAGUCGGUCACUUCAGUGGCCGGCUUUUUU